ACUCCUACGGGAGGGCAGCAGUGGGGAAUGAUUGGACAAUGGGGGCAACCCUGAUCCAGCGAUGCCGCGUGUGUGAAGAAGGCCUUCGGGUUGUAAAGCACUUUCAGUCGUGAGGAAGGUAGUGUAGUUAACACCUGCACUAUUUGACGUUACCUACAGAAGAAGCACCGGCUAACUCCGUGCCAGCAGCCGCGGUAAUACGGAGGGUGCGAGCGUUAAUCGGAAUUACUGGGCGUAAAGCGCAUGCAGGUGGUUUGUUAAGUCAGAUGUGAAAGCCCGGGGCUCAACCUCGGAAUUGCAUUUGAAACUGGCAGACUAGAGUACUGUAGAGGGGGGUAGAAUUUCAGGUGUAGCGGUGAAAUGCGUAGAGAUCUGAAGGAAUACCGGUGGCGAAGGCGGCCCCCUGGACAGAUACUGACACUCAGAUGCGAAAGCGUGGGAGCAAACA
rnacentral:rRNA from 1 species